rnacentral:rRNA from 1 species
AGUGGCGAACGGGUGAGUAACACGUGAGCAACCUGCCCCAGUCUCUGGGAUAACAGUUGGAAACAGCUGCUAAUACCGGAUACGAACCGCGAUCGCAUGGUCAGUGGUUGGAAAGAUUUUUCGGUCUGGGAUGGGCUCGCGGCCUAUCAGCUUGUUGGUGAGGUAAUGGCUCACCAAGGCGUCGACGGGUAGCCGGCCUGAGAGGGUGACCGGCCACACUGGGACUGAGACACGGCCCAGACUCCUACGGGAGGCAGCAGUGGGGAAUAUUGCACAAUGGGCGAAAGCCUGAUGCAGCAACGCCGCGUGAGGGAUGACGGCCUUCGGGUUGUAAACCUCUUUUAGCAGGGAAGAAGCGAAAGUGACGGUACCUGCAGAAAAAGCGCCGGCUAACUACGUGCCAGCAGCCGCGGUAAUACGUAGGGCGCAAGCGUUAUCCGGAAUUAUUGGGCGUAAAGAGCUCGUAGGCGGUUUGUCGCGUCUGCUGUGAAAUCCCGAGGCUCAACCUCGGGCCUGCAGUGGGUACGGGCAGACUAGAGUGCGGUAGGGGAGAUUGGAAUUCCUGGUGUAGCGGUGGAAUGCGCAGAUAUCAGGAGGAACACCGAUGGCGAAGGCAGAUCUCUGGGCCGUAACUGACGCUGAGGAGCGAAAGGGUGGGGAGCAAACAGGCUUAGAUACCCUGGUAGUCCACCCCGUAAACGUUGGGAACUAGUUGUGGGGUCCAUUCCACGGAUUCCGUGACGCAGCUAACGCAUUAAGUUCCCCGCCUGGGGAGUACGGCCGCAAGGCUAAAACUCAAAGGAAUUGACGGGGACCCGCACAAGCGGCGGAGCAUGCGGAUUAAUUCGAUGCAACGCGAAGAACCUUACCAAGGCUUGACAUAUAGAGGAAACGGCUGGAAACAGUCGCCCCGCAAGGUCUCUAUACAGGUGGUGCAUGGUUGUCGUCAG